GGUGAAUGGAAAGAACGGGGCGGGAGGCACUGACGGGCUCUGCAGGAGGCAGCGACUUCACGCUGCAGACAUUUAAAAGCAGUUUGUGUGACACGUAAGCGGUGAAAAAAGUCCUUGCUGAAAAUGUUAGAGAAAACCAGCAAAUAUCUUUUGCAGGAGGUAAAACAGGGCUUGUGGUCUGUCGGUGGCUUCUAAGGAGGGGCAGGCAGCAAGGGUACAAGCUUUGGAAUAGAAUAAGCAAAAUGAACCCAUCAAGUUGGAGAGUUUCUCUUCAGUAAUGCUGCUUUGGAGUAGAGGGAACAGAAAAUAAUGUACUGAAAAGGGAGCUGGAGAGGGAGCGAUCAAAAUAAUGACAAAAAGAGUAGUUCUGAAGUGAGAUCCCAAUGCUAACGGAAAAGUUAAAGUAUUGCAAAUACUUUGUUAUCUCUCAGGUUUUUGGCUACAUACCCAGAUAGUCAUUGGACAGUUCCGAAAUUAGAAGAGUGCCUUCCUCCCAUCCAUGAAAUCUGACAGAUGCAAUUUUUUAGUAACAUGGGCUUCAGAAAUCAGGAUACAGGGAUGCAGAAUUCAGUGCCUCUCUCUGAAUUAAUUUUAAGACUGAAGACUUUAUUUUCAAAACUGUGUUCAA